rnacentral:misc_RNA from 1 species
GUAAAUUUAAGGAAAAAUUUUCUGUACAGAAAUUUGUUCGUGCAUUUGUAAUUGUUUAGCUGAACUUCACAUUUCAUUGUUCACUUUUCUUGUGUUGUGAGUUGAGUUGAGUUGACUCAGUGAGUUGUAUGAGUUUAGUUAAGGAUCGAGGAUUGAGCAAUGUAGCUUUAUGGAAAUUUUCAUUCUUUUUCCUUUAAUGAUUGAGUCAAAUGCAGAGGUAGAUUGUUAAAUUUUCUGCCUUUCUUCUUGUUAAGAGUGAAUUAACAAUUAUUUAAUUUUUUUUUUGGG